rnacentral:rRNA from 1 species
GCGAGAAAACUUUGCAAUGUGCGAAAGCACGACAAGGUUAAUCCGAGUGGUUUCUGCUAAAGAAACCUUUUGUCAGUCCUAGAAACACUAACGAAUAAGGGGUGGGCAAGUUCUGGUGUCAGCCGCCGCGGUAAAGCCAGCACCUCAAGUGGUCAGGAUGAUUAUUGGGCCUAAAGCAUCCGUAGCUCGUUUUGUAAGUUUUCGGUUAAAUCCAUGCGCUUAACGUAUGGGCUGCCGGGAAUACUGCAUAACUAGGAAGUGGGAGAGGUAGACGGUACUCGGUAGGAAGGGGUAAAAUCCUUUGAUCUAUUGAUGACCACCUGUGGCGAAGGCGGCCCCCUGGCACAACACUGACGCUCAGGUGCGAAAGCG